GAUGAACGCUGGCGGCGUGCUAAUACAUGCAAGUAGAACGCUGAAGGAGGAGCUUGCUCUUCUGGAAGAGUUGCGAACGGGUGAGUAACGCGUAGGUAACCUGCCUCUUAGCGGGGGAUAGCUAUUGGAAACGAUAGCUAAUACCGCAUAAAAGUCGACAUUGCAUGAUGUUGACUUGAAAGGUGCAAAUGCAUCACUAAGAGAUGGACCUGCGUUGUAUUAGCUAGUUGGUGAGGUAACGGCUCACCAAGGCGACGAUACAUAGCCGACCUGAGAGGGUGAUCGGCCACACUGGGACUGAGACACGGCCCAGACUCCUACGGGAGGCAGCAGUAGGGAAUCUUCGGCAAUGGGGGCAACCCUGACCGAGCAACGCCGCGUGAGUGAAGAAGGUUUUCGGAUCGUAAAGCUCUGUUGUAAGUCAAGAACGAGUGUGAGAGUGGAAAGUUCACAC
rnacentral:rRNA from 1 species